rnacentral:tRNA from 1 species
GUCUUCGUGGUGUAAUGGUCAGCACACUCGGCGCGUAUUCGAGAGGUCCGAGGUUCGAGUCCUGGGGAGGACA